AUUAUUUUUCUAAAAACUAUUGCUCCAAAAGCAAAGUAGUGAUAGUAAGAAGUAGACAUUUUGACUCUAGUUUGUUAAAGAGGAAAUGAUAACCUAUUAACGGCCAUUAACCAACCUGCUGUUUAUAAACGUCCAAACGCGGCACUACUUAAUUUACUUUGUCUCUUCCCGUGUUUCACUCUCUUCCUCUGUGUCUUGUCAAUUGUCAGAACCGAAACCAAUCGUAGCCGUUCACUUGUUACCAUGAUGUCUGAUAUUACGUUGGAGAUUUUUCAUUCUUUUUAUGUUUACAUAUACCUUUCACUUUUGCCAAGGAUAUUAAUUAUUAUUCUCCCCUUUUCUUUUUCCCACCAUUUCAUUCAAAAAAAUUCUAGUGCUACACGUCAAAUUCAAAUGCCCAAAUCACUUACUCUUUUCCAGU
rnacentral:lncRNA from 1 species